rnacentral:misc_RNA from 1 species
UGAGUAUUUCUAUAUUUUUAUUUUUAUUAUUUAAUUUGUACUUUACAAUUUGUUCAGCUGGACAUUUGGUAAAUUUUUCUAACCUAAUUGCUGAAUAACAUGUGGAUGGCUAACCCCAGAGGGAUACCAUCUUCCAGUUUGACCAUUUUAUUUCUUCAGUGAAGUCAGUGAGGUGUUUUCUCUUUAUCUUCUUUUUAUUUUUUUUUUCUUAUUUAAUUUAUACUUUACAAUUUGUCCAGCUGGACAUUUGGUACAUUUUUCUAAUAUAAUUGCUGAAUAACAUGUGGAUGGCUAACCCCAGCGGGAUAUACCAUCUUCCAAUUUGACCAUUUUAUUUCUUCAGUGAG